rnacentral:snoRNA from 1 species
GGUCUGUGAUGAGUUUUGGCAGCUAUUAUCUGAGUAUGAAUUUGAAGAUUAUCGGUUUAUCUCUAGAAUUACUCUGAGACCUG